rnacentral:rRNA from 1 species
GGGUUGUGAGGUUAAGCGACUAAGCGUACACGGUGGAUGCCCUGGCAGUCAGAGGCGAUGAAGGACGUGCUAAUCUGCGAUAAGCGUCGGUAAGGUGAUAUGAACCGUUAUAACCGGCGAUUUCCGAAUGGGGAAACCCAGUGUGAUUCGUCACACUAUCAUUAACUGAAUCCAUAGGUUAAUGAGGCGAACCGGGGGAACUGAAACAUCUAAGUACCCCGAGGAAAAGAAAUCAACCGAGAUUCCCCCAGUAGCGGCGAGCGAACGGGGAGGAGCCCAGAGCCUGAAUCAGUGUGUGUGUUAGUGGAAGCGUCUGGAAAGGCGCGCGAUACAGGGUGACAGCCCCGUACACAAAAAUGCACAUGCUGUGAGCUCGAUGAGUAGGGCGGGACACGUGGUAUCCUGUCUGAAUAUGGGGGGACCAUCCUCCAAGGCUAAAUACUCCUGACUGACCGAUAGUGAACCAGUACCGUGAGGGAAAGGCGAAAAGAACCCCGGCGAGGGGAGUGAAAAAGAACCUGAAACCGUGUACGUACAAGCAGUGGGAGCACAGAGCAAUCUGUGUGACUGCGUACCUUUUGUAUAAUGGGUCAGCGACUUAUAUUCUGUAGCAAGGUUAACCGAAUAGGGGAGCCGAAGGGAAACCGAGUCUUAACUGGGCGUUAAGUUGCAGGGUAUAGACCCGAAACCCGGUGAUCUAGCCAUGGGCAGGUUGAAGGUUGGGUAACACUAACUGGAGGACCGAACCGACUAAUGUUGAAAAAUUAGCGGAUGACUUGUGGCUGGGGGUGAAAGGCCAAUCAAACCGGGAGAUAGCUGGUUCUCCCCGAAAGCUAUUUAGGUAGCGCCUCGUGAAUUCAUCUCCGGGGGUAGAGCACUGUUUCGGCAAGGGGGUCAUCCCGACUUACCAACCCGAUGCAAACUGCGAAUACCGGAGAAUGUUAUCACGGGAGACACACGGCGGGUGCUAACGUCCGUCGUGAAGAGGGAAACAACCCAGACCGCCAGCUAAGGUCCCAAAGUCAUGGUUAAGUGGGAAACGAUGUGGGAAGGCCCAGACAGCCAGGAUGUUGGCUUAGAAGCAGCCAUCAUUUAAAGAAAGCGUAAUAGCUCACUGGUCGAGUCGGCCUGCGCGGAAGAUGUAACGGGGCUAAACCAUGCACCGAAGCUGCGGCAGCGACACUAUGUGUUGUUGGGUAGGGGAGCGUUCUGUAAGCCUGUGAAGGUGUACUGUGAGGUAUGCUGGAGGUAUCAGAAGUGCGAAUGCUGACAUAAGUAACGAUAAAGCGGGUGAAAAGCCCGCUCGCCGGAAGACCAAGGGUUCCUGUCCAACGUUAAUCGGGGCAGGGUGAGUCGACCCCUAAGGCGAGGCCGAAAGGCGUAGUCGAUGGGAAACAGGUUAAUAUUCCUGUACUUGGUGUUACUGCGAAGGGGGGACGGAGAAGGCUAUGUUGGCCGGGCGACGGUUGUCCCGGUUUAAGCGUGUAGGCUGGUUUUCCAGGCAAAUCCGGAAAAUCAAGGCUGAGGCGUGAUGACGAGGCACUACGGUGCUGAAGCAACAAAUGCCCUGCUUCCAGGAAAAGCCUCUAAGCAUCAGGUAACAUCAAAUCGUACCCCAAACCGACACAGGUGGUCAGGUAGAGAAUACCAAGGCGCUUGAGAGAACUCGGGUGAAGGAACUAGGCAAAAUGGUGCCGUAACUUCGGGAGAAGGCACGCUGAUAUGUAGGUGAAGUCCCUCGCGGAUGGAGCUGAAAUCAGUCGAAGAUACCAGCUGGCUGCAACUGUUUAUUAAAAACACAGCACUGUGCAAACACGAAAGUGGACGUAUACGGUGUGACGCCUGCCCGGUGCCGGAAGGUUAAUUGAUGGGGUCAGCGCAAGCGAAGCUCUUGAUCGAAGCCCCGGUAAACGGCGGCCGUAACUAUAACGGUCCUAAGGUAGCGAAAUUCCUUGUCGGGUAAGUUCCGACCUGCACGAAUGGCGUAAUGAUGGCCAGGCUGUCUCCACCCGAGACUCAGUGAAAUUGAACUCGCUGUGAAGAUGCAGUGUACCCGCGGCAAGACGGAAAGACCCCGUGAACCUUUACUAUAGCUUGACACUGAACAUUGAGCCUUGAUGUGUAGGAUAGGUGGGAGGCUUUGAAGUGUGGACGCCAGUCUGCAUGGAGCCGACCUUGAAAUACCACCCUUUAAUGUUUGAUGUUCUAACGUUGACCCGUGAUCCGGGUUGCGGACAGUGUCUGGUGGGUAGUUUGACUGGGGCGGUCUCCUCCUAAAGAGUAACGGAGGAGCACGAAGGUUGGCUAAUCCUGGUCGGACAUCAGGAGGUUAGUGCAAUGGCAUAAGCCAGCUUGACUGCGAGCGUGACGGCGCGAGCAGGUGCGAAAGCAGGUCAUAGUGAUCCGGUGGUUCUGAAUGGAAGGGCCAUCGCUCAACGGAUAAAAGGUACUCCGGGGAUAACAGGCUGAUACCGCCCAAGAGUUCAUAUCGACGGCGGUGUUUGGCACCUCGAUGUCGGCUCAUCACAUCCUGGGGCUGAAGUAGGUCCCAAGGGUAUGGCUGUUCGCCAUUUAAAGUGGUACGCGAGCUGGGUUUAGAACGUCGUGAGACAGUUCGGUCCCUAUCUGCCGUGGGCGCUGGAGAACUGAGGGGGGCUGCUCCUAGUACGAGAGGACCGGAGUGGACGCAUCACUGGUGUUCGGGUUGUCAUGCCAAUGGCACUGCCCGGUAGCUAAAUGCGGAAGAGAUAAGUGCUGAAAGCAUCUAAGCACGAAACUUGCCCCGAGAUGAGUUCUCCCUGACUCCUUGAGAGUCCUGAAGGAACGUUGAAGACGACGACGUUGAUAGGCCGGGUGUGUAAGCGCAGCGAUGCGUUGAGCUAACCGGUACUAAUGAACCGUGAGGCUUAACCUUACAACGCCGAAG